CACGAAAUGGUGGUUCAAGGCAAGAGAUGUCAUUUGCUCUGUCUUUACUACUACAUUCUACGGGGGAAAUUUACUAAAGGGCGUGCGAUCAAUAUAAAUCC